rnacentral:rRNA from 1 species
UGCGAGUCGAACGGUAACAGGUCUUCGGACGCUGACGAGUGGCGAACGGGUGAGUAAUACAUCGGAACGUGCCCAGUCGUGGGGGAUAACUACUCGAAAGAGUAGCUAAUACCGCAUACGAUCUGAGGAUGAAAGCGGGGGACCUUCGGGCCUCGCGCGAUUGGAGCGGCCGAUGGCAGAUUAGGUAGUUGGUGGGAUAAAAGUUUACCAAGCCGACGAUCUGUAGCUGGUCUGAGAGGACGACCAGCCACACUGGGACUGAGACACGGCCCAGACUCCUACGGGAGGCAGCAGUGGGGAAUUUUGGACAAUGGGCGAAAGCCUGAUCCAGCAAUGCCGCGUGCAGGAUGAAGGCCUUCGGGUUGUAAACUGCUUUUGUACGG